rnacentral:sRNA from 12 species
AAUCUAAACUCGAAAGUAAAGGUAUUUCCGGGCAUGAUUCCAUAAUCCGUCGAAGAUAAAAACCCUCUCGUUCAGGGUUCCUUCGACGGUCACAGCCGGAAACGGUUGUGUUCGGGCCGCAAGGUCCGAA